rnacentral:lncRNA from 1 species
UUCAUCAUAAAUACGACACUUGUUAACCAAAACUGGAAAUGGAAGGUGUUGGUGUAAGCCCUAGAGGCCAAUACUUUUGGUACUUGUAUCGAAUUAUUUAUUAAUAAUAAAAGGCUUUUUCUUUACUAUGUUUGUUUAAUAAAGUCCAUAGAAUAGCUAGUCCGUUUAAUGUAUCAAGUAUGACUUAAUCACGAGAUCACAUUAAACAUAAGGACACUAUUCUUAAAGUAUUUG